rnacentral:rRNA from 1 species
UAGAUUGCGGCGUGCUAUAAUGCAAGUCGAGCGAGAAUCAUUCGAUCGGAGAUUCGUCGAGAGAAAAUGAGGAAAGCGGCGGACGGGUGAGUAACGCGUAGGCAACCUGCCCCUAGCAGAGGAUAGCCAUUGGAAACGAUGAUUAAAACCUCAUAAUGCUGUUUUAACACAUGUUGAGACGCCAAAGAUUUAUCGGCUGGGGAUGGGCCUGCGUCUGAUUAACUAGUUGGUGAGGUAACGCCCACCAAGGUGACGAUCAGUAGCCGACCUGAGAGGGUGAUCGGCCACAUUGGAACUGAGCACGGUCCAAACUUCUACGGAAGGCAGCAGUAAGGAAUCUUGCACAAUGGGGGAAACCCUAUGCAGCAACGCCGCGUGAACGAUGAAGGCCUUAGGGUUGUAAAGUUCUGAUCUGGGGGAGAAGAAGUGACGGUACCCCAGGAGAAAGCCCCGGCUAAAUACGUGCCAGCAGCCGCGGUAUACGUAUGGGGCAAGCGUUAUCCGGAAUUAUUGGGCGUAAAGAGUGCGUAGGUGGUUACCAAGCGCAAGGUUUAAUCUUGAGGCUCAACCUCAUUCUGCCUUGCGAACUGGGCUACUUGAUGCAGGAGGGGAAAGCGGAAUUCCCAGUGUAGCGGUGAAAUGCGUAGAUAUUGGGAAGAAACCGGUGGCGAAGGCGGCUUUCUGGACUGUAACUGACACUGAGGCACGAAAGCGUGGGGACAAACAGGAUUAGAUACCCUGGUAGUCCACGCCGUAACGAUGAGCACUAGUUGUUGGGUAGAAUGUAUUCAGUGACGCAGUUAACGCAAUAAGUGCUCCGCCUGGGGAGUACGGUGGCAAACUAAAACUCAAAGGAAUUGACGGGGACCCGCACAAGCAGCGGAGCAUGUGGUUUAAUUCAAGCAACGCGAAAACCUUACCAGGGCUUGACAUCCCUCUGACCGGAUCUUAACCGAUCCUUCUUCGGACAGAGGUGACAGGUGUGCAUGGUUGUCGUCAGCUCGUGUCGUGAGAUGUUGGGUAAGUCCCGCAACGAGCGCAACCCUUGUCGUCAGUACUAACAUUAAGUUGAGACUCUGAGAGACUG